rnacentral:rRNA from 1 species
GAAAGAUUUUCGGUUUGGGAGGGUCUCGCGGCCUAUCAGCUUGUUGGUGGGGUAAUGGCCUACCAAGGCAUCGACGGGUAGCUGGUCUGAGAGGAUGAUCAGCCACACUGGGACUGAGACACGGCCCAGACUCCUACGGGAGGCAGCAGUGGGGAAUCUUGCGCAAUGGGCGAAAGCCUGACGCAGCAACGCCGCGUGCGGGAUGAAGGCCUCCGGGCUGUAAACCGCUUUCAGCAGGAACG